AAAGGAAUUGACGGGGACCCACACAAGCGGUGGAGCAUCUGGUUUAAUUCGACAGUAAGCGAGGAACCUUACCCAGGCUUGACAUCCCGAGAAAUCUGCCGAAAGGUGGACGUGCCGUAAGGAACUCGGUGACAGGUGCUGCAUGGUUGUCGUCAGCUCGUGCCUUGAGGUGUUCGGUUAAGUCCGUCAACGAGCGCAACCCUUGUCUCAAGUUGCAUAUUUCUUGAGAGACUGCCGGCUCUAAGUCGGAGGAAGGUAAGGAUGACGUCAAAUCAGCAUGGCCCUUAUGUCUGGGGCGACACAGGUGCUACAAUGGCCAUCACAGCGGGCAGCUAAAGAGUAAUCUGGAGCUAAUCCCCAAAAAUGGUCUAAGUUCGGAUUGAGGGCUGAAACUCGCCCUCAUGAAGUUGGAAUCGCUAGUAAACGCGUAUCAGCCAUGGCGCGUUGAAUAUGUUCCUGGGUCUUGUACACACCGCCCGU
rnacentral:rRNA from 1 species